AAUUAUCUUUGUAGUAAAGAUUCAAGUCAACAAACAAAAGGUUAAUGCACAUUUGCUCAAAUCUUCAAAGUUAUUUGCAUUUUUUUUCUGCAUUGGUUUAGUUCACUGGUUAACGGGCAAACCGUUCUGAUGUUGAUGCUAGUUUGAAAUGUUAAACAAAAUUUAAGACUUAUAACAUAUAUUUCUCAGAGUAUGUACACUGAAAACCAGUUAUUUCCUAGAAUUACAAAGCAAGAUGACUAAAAAAUUAAAAUGUCAGGCAAACAUAUUCUUAAGAAACCAAGGACUCAGAUUUCAUCAUUAAAUUUCAUGGAAAGUUAUUCCUAGAAAUGAAUUUAGACGAAUUCAAACAAACACCCACAAAUAGUACUACAUACUAAUAAUCAGCCUAAAC
rnacentral:lncRNA from 1 species